rnacentral:lncRNA from 1 species
UGGUCUAGGCAGUGGCUGUAGUUGUCACCUAGCUGUUGAGAACUCCAGUAGGUGUGUGGUGUCACCUGGCUGUUGAGGUUUCCAGUAGGUGUGUGGUGGAAAAAACUUCUCUUCUCUUCUCUGAUCUCUGGCCCUAUCGAGGUUCUGUGAUAUGAUCCAGGCUGUCUUCAGGCAGCAGGUAAGGAUGAUUCCUCAAAAAACAAGGGCACGUAGACGAGCCACACCCCAAAAAAACAGCCAAGUGCUGCAGGGCUCCCCCGACUGCCACACCCAAAGCACCCUGCUGCACGCGCGGAUGCAAAUGACCAACCACAGAGGUUAAUACGCCACCUGCUCCAAGCUGGUGAAGUGUGGUGCUCGCCGAGAUGUUAAAAUGCCGACAAGCGAAAUGUCGCCAACUCCACGGCGACGCUCCUGAACCGCCAGAAUCCUAUUCCAUAGCGGUGUCGAGUUCCAAAGCACAAGCCGGCAUAGGCUGAAGGGCGCUGGAGAGGGAGAGUCGCGCUACAGCUGCAAAGUGGACUGACAAAAAACGAGCACGCCCACAAAUGCAAACUGCUUCACAGUGGUUCGUAGGCCUUAAGAAGCCUAAAACAAAAGGAAGCAAGUCAAACAGCGCGAGAGAAAUGACGUCGACUGUUUUAAAGCUGUGCAGAAGGAAAGGAGGAUGCAAGAAUAGCAAGAGAAGAGAGUAAAGUAAAGUAAAGUAAAGGGCCGCCGCUGCUUUUUUUUUUGAGGAAUCAUCCUUACAAGGUUGAACAGGGGCAGACGCGCUGCCCCCCUGCUGCCUGAAAGCAGCCUGGUCCCCGAGACCAGAACCCUGACAGGGCAAGAAGAGAAGAAAAGAGAAGAAAACAGAAAACAAAUACCUCAAAAACCGCCGUGGCAGGCCCCGUGCUAGGUCCCGCCCCGCCCGCCGCCUGCUCCUGCAGCCGCGCGGAACGCCGCGGCCCCUCACCCGGGUGCUGGGACGGGGACGCAUAUGACUGCAGUGCUCUCGCCGGCGUGUUCUGCAGCCCGGCUGCCGCGGAGGUGCGGUGGAGCCAGGGGUCCAGAGCCACCGGGUUAUUGUGGAAGUGCUGCGCCGCCGUGGUGGUCAGCUGCGCCGCUGCACGCUGCCACUCCGCCUCCCGCUCCGCCAGCCGCGACUGUGCCGCCAGCUGGGUCCCCGAACCCCCCGCCUGCUGUGCUGGCGCCGGGCACGGCAUGGCUGCGGGGCGGGCCGGAGCCGGAGGUGCGGCCGGGUUGGCCGCACGUCCCGCACCGUGUAGUCCGCCAAGCGGACACCCGCAAUCCGGCAGUGCUCCGGGUGCACCACCACCCCAGCCUCCGGCGCCAGGAAGUACGGCGCCCGAGGCCACGCCCCCGCCCGUUCCCCUGGUGAUGCUGCAUCGUAUGCCGCCCGCUCUUCAAAGGUCCACAGGUGCCGCGGCUUGCGAUGCUGCAGCACACAGGCAGGCUGCCACGCCCCAUCCACCGCCGGGGGCAGCACGCCAGGCCCAGGCUCCAAGAGCCGCCCCGUGUAGUGGACGUAGGACACAGCCCCCGCAGCGUUAGCCACCCACAGCUGGUCCAGGCUAACCCGCCACUGUGGCGGCGCCGCUGGCGGCUGAGUGGCUGGCUGCGGCGGAUGCUGUUCCACGCCCGCGCUCCGCACGUGGCCGACCGCGGCCGCCAGCCGGGCAGGCAGCCCCGCUGGCGCCGGCGCGUCGCUGUACACCCACGCCCACCUGGUGGCAGAGUCCGGGCGCACAUGAGUAAGCAGCGCCCGGGUGAGCGUCUUCCAGGGUUGCCGGCCUGGCUGGGCAAGCAGGGCAAAAGUCUUAGCUUGCAGGGCAGCAGCAUCCACCGCAGCCAGCCACUCAGCCGCCAGCGGCACCGCCACAGUGGCGGGUUAGCCGGGCCGCGCUGCAGCAGGCGACUGGGGACCAGGGGGGGGUCUUCUAAAUGGUUAAGACACUCAAGCCGAUUUCGUUAAGGCUUCAAGAGAUCCUGGGUUCGAAUCCCGGUCACCCCACCAGGAAGGGCCCUGGUUUACCAAAACCCAUCCACACCUUGGUGGUGUGUAGACCCCCCCUGUGGUGCAGGGAGUCUCUGGGGUACGAGGCUGGAGCUCUGGGCCUGCAACUGGAGAGCUUUCAAGUUCAAGAUCCAAGAUUCAAGUGGAGCUCUGGGCCUGUCAACUGGAGAGCUCUAGAUGAUCUGUGUGGUCUAGGCAGUGGCUGUAGUUGUCACCUAGCUGUUGAGAACUCCAGUAGGUGUGUGGUGUCACCUAGCUGUUGAGGUCUCCAGUAGGUGUGUGGUGGAACAAACUUCUCUUCUCUUCUCUGAUCUCUGGCCCUAUCGAGGUUCUGUGAUAUGAUCCAGGCUGCCUUGGCAGUAGGGUGGUAGUGCGUCUACCGCCGCAACCUUGUAAGGAUGACUUUCAAAAAAAA